rnacentral:tRNA from 1 species
GUUGAGAUGGCCGAAUUGGUCUAAGGUGCCAGAUUAAGGUUCUGGUCCCGAAAGGGCGUGGGUUCAAAUCCCAGCUGCUACA